rnacentral:rRNA from 1 species
AUGACGUCAAAUCAUCAUGCCCCUUAUGACCUGGGCUACACACGUGCUACAAUGGUUGGUACAACGAGUUGCGAGUCGGUGACGGCGAGCUAAUCUCUUAAAGCCAAUCUCAGUUCGGAUUGUAGGCUGCAACUCGCCUACAUGAAGUCGGAAUCGCUAGUAAUCGCGGAUCAGCACGCCGCGGUGAAUACCGGUUCCCGGGCCUU